AACUUGGACUUGAGCUCUUGGGCAUCCAAGUGGUUCGAAAGCUCCGGCGGUGCAGGAUGAGCCCGCGGCCUAUCAGCUUGUUGGUGAGGUAAUGGCUCACCAAGGCGACGACGGGUAGCCGGCCUGAGAGGGCGACCGGCCACACUGGGACUGAGACACGGCCCAGACUCCUACGGGAGGCAGCAGUGGGGAAUAUUGCACAAUGGGCGAAAGCCUGAUGCAGCGACGCCGCGUGAGGGAUGACGGCCUUCGGGUUGUAAACCUCUUUCAGCAGGGAAGAAGCGAAAGUGACGGUACCUGCAGAAGAAGCGCCGGCUAACUACGUGCCAGCAGCCGCGGUAAUACGUAGGGCGCAAGCGUUGUCCGGAAUUAUUGGGCGUAAAGAGCUCGUAGGCGGCUUGUCACGUCGGUUGUGAAAGCCCGGGGCUUAACCCCGGGUCUGCAGUCGAUACGGGCAGGCUAGAGUUCGGUAGGGGAGAUCGGAUUUUCCUGGUGA
rnacentral:rRNA from 1 species